GAUUCAACUCCACGCCCAAAGGCAAGCGCAUGCCUCUGCCUCUGCACUUAGCAUUUUUCGCUUCACCCACCGCCGUCCGGACGCACCGGUCAUCACCUUCGUUGGAUCAUUCUCGCCUCAAGAGGCCGCGCCGACGAGCUGGGUCGGGAGGAAUCGUGGAAAUCCGCUUCACGAUUCAGGAAGCCGCGGCUCCCAAUUUGAUGUGAGACAAAUGCUGGACCCUUCUCACAGUAUUCGUGAAAGCUGCCAAGGCGGUGGCCCCGGCACUAACAUGUGGUUGAUCCGCGGAUGGGGGAAUAUGUAGCCUAGAUUUUGAGUAUGAUAUCAGCAGUCACCUUCUUGCCUCAUGGCUCUCUUGGGAUGUGGAUUAUUCAUCCAGGUCACUACCACGCUUUAAAUGCAGAGGUAAUUUUGAGUCCAUGAUGUGAUAUGGGUAGCUUGUGCUUCCGGGAUCGUUGAUACAAGAGCUUUCAUACUCUUUAUUGUGCUUUAAGCCUUUGUCUACAGCCGUAGGAUUUUGUCCCAUCUCAUCUGCUCCCGUCGGUGAUUCAAUAUGGAUAAUUCGGAGGGAUUUAAAAAUGAACUAGCGUGUUUUCAGCCACAAAUUUUAUUUUGAAGCUCCCAUCUUGUAUGCAUCAUAUUGAAGCAAUCCUUGUCUCUGAUGAAUAGAACAGUUCAUAUCAGAAGCAGACGGUCUUUUAUGGCAGGUUGCAGCGUGUAGGCCCGAAUUAUAUAGCUCAUGCGAUGGUUAUACGGGGCCAAUAGGGGUAGGGGAGGCCCUCAUCGCUAAUCAAUCUGGGAACAGAAGAGAGAAAGGGACUUGAAGACUGUAUUGACUACCUGGUGAUGUCAUCCAUUUCCAUGAACAGUGUCAGUCAAUCAUUGUAUUCAUGGUCUCUUUCUUCAAUGUCUGUCCUUGUCCUCCUCUCUGUAAACUGUGGCUACAUCCAGAUUGCGCACGAGAGGCUCAUUGUCUCCAUUCUGUACUUGGUGCCUGGAAUCCUCUAUUUUAUUAAUUGGCUUUA